UACGUAGGGGGCUAGCGUUGUCCGGAAUCAUUGGGCGUAAAGCGCGUGUAGGCGGUUCGGUAAGUCUGCUGUGAAAGUCGGGGGCUCAACCCUCGAAUGCCGGUGGAUACUGUCGGACUAGAGUGCGGAAGAGGCGAGUGGAAUUCCUGGUGUAGCGGUGAAAUGCGCAGAUAUCAGGAGGAACACCAAUUGCGAAGGCAGCUCGCUGGGACGUUACUGACGCUGAGACGCGAAAGCGUGGGGAGCAAACGGG
rnacentral:rRNA from 1 species